GACCUCAAAUCAGGUAGGGCUACCCGCUGAACUUAAGCAUAUCAAUAAGCGGAGGAAAAGAAACUAACAAGGAUUCCCCUAGUAACGGCGAGCGAACCGGGAUGAGCUCAAAUUUGAAAUCUGGCGCCCUCCGGGCGUCCGAGUUGUAAUCUAUAGAAGCGUUUUCCGUGCCGGACCGUGUCCAAGUCCCUUGGAACAGGGUAUCAAAGAGGGUGACAAUCCCGUACUUGACACGACGACCGGUGCUCUGUGAUACGCUCUCUACGAGUCGAGUUGUUUGGGAAUGCAGCUCAAAACGGGUGGUAAAUUCCAUCUAAAGCUAAAUAUUGGCGAGAGACCGAUAGCGAACAAGUACCGUGAGGGAAAGAUGAAAAGCACUUUGGAAAGAGAGUA
rnacentral:rRNA from 1 species